UACGUAGGGGGCGAGCGUUGUCCGGAGUUACUGGGCGUAAAGCGCCCGCAGGCGGUCGGUCGCGUUUGAGGUAACAGCUCCUGGCUUACCUGGGAGAGCGUCUCAAAAACGGGCUGACUUGAGGACCAGAGAGGGACACGGAAUUCCGGGUGUAGUGGUGAAAUGCGUAGAUAUCCGGAGGAACACCGAAGGCGCAGGCAGUGUCCUGGCUGGCACCUGACGCUCAGGGGCGAAAGCUAGGGGAGCGAACGGG
rnacentral:rRNA from 1 species